UCUGAGGGUCCAGGUUCAUUACUGAAGUUCAGAGGAAUAUGUUUUGACCAAUCACUCUUCAUAGACAGACAGCUAGACACUGGAGACUCUGCUCUGUCCUCCUCUUUGUCUACAAAUACACUCAUCUUCUGGACUUCAGUUAGUCUGAGACAAUAACACUGACUGAGUUCAGAGCACAAGAAUCAAGAAAAACAGGUUUGUUCAACAGUCAUACGCCAGACUAGGGAGAAGUGAGGGGGUGGUGGCGAAAACAUGAGUUCAAAAAUCCACUUACUGAAGUUUUAAAGCUUUCAGCUGCAAGCUCCAGAUCAUUUAACACAAGUAAUCAGUUAAAGAGUAAAAUUAGAGAAUCAGGACACAGAAUCAAGGUUCAUUACUGAAGAAUGGAGGCUCAUCUUUGGAGUAAUCACUCUUCAUAGACAGACAGCUGGACACUGGAGACUCUGCUCUGUCCUCCUCUUCCUCCACACAAACACUCAUCUUCCUUCAAUCAGUCAGUCUGAGAGAUAAAAUAAUAACACUGACUCAAAACAGAAGAAUCAGGAAAAACAGGUUUGUUCAAGAGUGACACGCGGGACUGAUAGUACAAGCAGUAACACACAGAGCCGUUUCUUGCUAUAUGCGGACUAUGCGGCUGCACAGGGUCCCGCAGCUACCAGGGGGCCCCCAAACUGCAAGUUCAGCCUCAUAUUUUAUUAUAUUUUGGAGAAUUAAAAGUACCUGUCUUUAUUUGCAUGUAUUGCAUGCAUUCAUUAUGCAUUUAUUUGCAAAGCAUGUAAGUGUUAAGGGUAAUCAGGUCAAAAUCACCUUUGGGCUGGGCCGUCACGUGGUAAGUGACGUGCAACGACAGGUCUGACGGGAUGAUUGACAGCCGCCCACCUUCCACUGAAGUGACGAGAAUAACCGUAGACGCUGAUUACAAUGUCAUCGAAACGUACUUACGCGUCUGAUGCAGAGAAACGCAAAAAGAAGAAAACAGAUGAAGAAAAACGAUCACAGGAUAAAGGAGCAAUUUCCUACUUCAGAGGUCCAGUUCAAGGAGAGCCAGGGGGACCUUCAUCAGCUUCUGACCAGAAAGCAGAAAUUUUGAGGAGGAGGACUGUGAUCAUACAGAUCCUCAUCACAAAGUAGUGAUGUUGUACAGUUACAAUACUACAAUACAUACUACUAUAUGUAACUACAUAACUAGUUUUUUUAUUGAUUUUUUAUUGAUUGUGCAAUAACAUGGAUGCUGGUCCAUUAUACUUAUUUAUUUAAGUAAGUUUAGUUAUUUAUUUUUUACUGUUUUGGAAUGGUGGGUUAAAGCUUUUUUAUGUUAUGCCACCUUGUUAUGCCACCAAGUUUAGAUUAAACAUUUUUCAAGAA